rnacentral:rRNA from 1 species
AUUGAACGCUGGCGGCAGGCCUAACACAUGCAAGUCGAACGAGUGGCGGACGGGUGAGUAAUGUCUGGGACACUGCCUGAUGGAGGGGGAUCACUACUGGAAACGGUAGCUAAUACCGCAUACUAUCGGAUGUGCCCAUAUGGGAUUGGCUAGUAGGUGGGGUAAAGGCUCACCUAGGCGACGAUCCCUAGCUGGUCUGAGAGGAUGACCAGCCAAACUGGGAAGGAGACACGGUCCCAAAUCCUACGGGAGGGAGCAGUGGGGAAUAGUGCACAAUGGGGGCAAGCCUGAUGCAGCCAUGCCGGGUGGAAUAAGAAGGCCUUCGGGUUGGAAAGUAAUUUCCGCGGGGAGGAGGUAACCGCAGAAGAAGCAACGGCUAACUCCGUGCCAGCAGCCGCGGUAAUAC